rnacentral:misc_RNA from 1 species
GUAGGUGAACCUGCGGAGGGAUCAUUACCGAAGUUACCCUUCAAAACCCUUUGUGAACGUUACCUCUUGCCGCGUUGCCUCGGCGGGAGGCGGUGGGAAGUCUCUCCGGAGGCCCCCGCCGUCCCCGCCGGCAGCGCCAAAACUCUAUUUGCACAGCGGACUGUAUGUUCUGAUUUAUAAAAAAAAACAAGUUAAAACUUUCAACAACGGAUCUCUUGGUUCUG